rnacentral:rRNA from 1 species
AACGCUAGCUACAGGCUUAACACAUGCAAGUCGAGGGGCAGCAUUUUAGUUUGCUUGCAAACUGAAGAUGGCGACCGGCGCACGGGUGAGUAACACGUAUCCAACCUGCCGAUAACUCCGGAAUAGCCUUUCGAAAGAAAGAUUAAUACCGGAUAGCAUACGAAUAUCGCAUGAUAUUUUUAUUAAAGAAUUUCGGUUAUCGAUGGGGAUGCGUUCCAUUAGUUUGUUGGCGGGGUAACGGCCCACCAAGACUACGAUGGAUAGGGGUUCUGAGAGGAAGGUCCCCCACAUUGGAACUGAGACACGGUCCAAACUCCUACGGGAGGCAGCAGUGAGGAAUAUUGGUCAAUGGGCGAGAGCCUGAACCAGCCAAGUAGCGUGAAGGAUGAAGGCUCUAUGGGUCGUAAACUUCUUUUAUAUGGGAAUAAAGUUUUCCACGUGUGGAAUUUUGUAUGUACCAUAUGAAUAAGGAUCGGCUAACUCCGUGCCAGCAGCCGCGGUAAUACGGAGGAUCCGAGCGUUAUCCGGAUUUAUUGGGUUUAAAGGGAGCGUAGGUGGAUUGUUAAGUCAGUUGUGAAAGUUUGCGGCUCAACCGUAAAAUUGCAGUUGAAACUGGCAGUCUUGAGUACAGUAGAGGUGGGCGGAAUUCGUGGUGUAGCGGUGAAAUGCUUAGAUAUCACGAAGAACUCCGAUUGCGAAGGCAGCUCACUAGACUGUCACUGACACUGAUGCUCGAAAGUGUGGGUAUCAAACAGGAUUAGAUACCCUGGUAGUCCACACAGUAAACGAUGAAUACUCGCUGUUUGCGAUAUACAGUAAGCGGCCAAGCGAAAGCAUUAAGUAUUCCACCUGGGGAGUACGCCGGCAACGGUGAAACUCAAAGGAAUUGACGGGGGCCCGCACAAGCGGAGGAACAUGUGGUUUAAUUCGAUGAUACGCGAGGAACCUUACCCGGGCUUAAAUUGCAACAGAAUAUAUUGGAAACAGUAUAGCCGUAAGGCUGUUGUGAAGGUGCUGCAUGGUUGUCGUCAGCUCGUGCCGUGAGGUGUCGGCUUAAGUGCCAUAACGAGCGCAACCCUUAUCUUUAGUUACUAACAGGUCAUGCUGAGGACUCUAGAGAGACUGCCGUCGUAAGAUGUGAGGAAGGUGGGGAUGACGUCAAAUCAGCACGGCCCUUACGUCCGGGGCUACACACGUGUUACAAUGGGGGGUACAGAAGGCGGCUACCUGGUGACAGGAUGCUAAUCCCAAAAACCUCUCUCAGUUCGGAUCGAAGUCUGCAACCCGACUUCGUGAAGCUGGAUUCGCUAGUAAUCGCGCAUCAGCCAUGGCGCGGUGAAUACGUUCCCGGGCCUUGUACACACCGCCCGUCAAGCCAUGAAAGCCGGGGGUACCUGAAGUACGUAACCGCAAGGAGCGUCCUAGGGUAAAACUGGUAAUUGGGG